GCGCCCGUAGCUCAGUUGGAUAGAGCACCGGCCUUCUAAGCCGGGGGUCGAAGGUUCGAAUCCUUCCGGGCGCG
rnacentral:tRNA from 1 species